rnacentral:rRNA from 1 species
UACGUAGGGUGCGAGCGUUGUCCGGAAUUAUUGGGCGUAAAGGGCUCGUAGGCGGUCUGUUGCGUCAGGAGUGAAAACCCGAGGCUCAACCUCGGGCCUGCAGUGGGUACGGGCAGACUAGAGUGCGGUAGGGGAGAUUGGAAUUCCUGGUGUAGCGGUGGAAUGCGCAGAUAUCAGGAGGAACACCGAUGGCGAAGGCAGAUCUC